GAUGAACGCUGGCGGCGUGCCUAAUACAUGCAAGUCGAGCGAACGGACGAGAAGCUUGCUUCUCUGAUGUUAGCGGCGGACGGGUGAGUAACACGUGGAUAACCUACCUAUAAGACUGGGAUACUUCGGGAAACCGGAGCUAAUACCGGAUAAUAUUUUGAACCGCAUGGUUCAAAAGUAAAAGACGGUCUUGCUGUCACUUAUAGAUGGAUCCGCGCUGCAUUAGCUAGUUGGUAAGGUAACGGCUUACCAAGGCAACGAUGCAUAGCCGACCUGAGAGGGUGAUCGGCCACACUGGAACUGAGACACGGUCCAGACUCCUACGGGAGGCAGCAGUAGGGAAUCUUCCGCAAUGGGCGAAAGCCUGACGGAGCAACGCCGCGUGAGUGAUGAAGGUCUUCGGAUCGUAAAACUCUGUUAUUAGGGAAGAACAUAUGUGUAAGUAACUGUGCACAUCUUGACGGUACCUAAUCAGAAAGCCACGGCUAACUACGUG
rnacentral:rRNA from 1 species